rnacentral:rRNA from 1 species
AGCGAACGCUGGCGGCAGGCCUAACACAUGCAAGUCGAACGAACCCUUCGGGGUUAGUGGCGGACGGGUGAGUAACACGUGGGAGCGUGCCUUUAGGUUCGGAAUAACUCAGGGAAACUUGUGCUAAUACCGAAUGUGCCCUUCGGGGGAAAGAUUUAUCGCCUUUAGAGCGGCCCGCGUCUGAUUAGCUAGUUGGUGAGGUAAUGGCUCACCAAGGCUACGAUCAGUAGCUGGUCUGAGAGGAUGACCAGCCACAUUGGGACUGAGACACGGCCCAAACUCCUACGGGAGGCAGCAGUGGGGAAUCUUGCGCAAUGGGCGAAAGCCUGACGCAGCCAUGCCGCGUGGAUGAUGAAGGUCUUAGGAUUGUAAAAUCCUUUCACCGGUGAAGAUAAUGACUGUAGCCGGAGAAGAAGCCCCGGCUAGCUUCGUGCCAGCCGCCGCCGUAAGAC